rnacentral:rRNA from 1 species
GACGAACGCUGGCGGCGUGCUUAACACAUGCAAGUCGAACGGGCCUUGUCCCCUUUUUUUUUGGGGGUGGGGUUAGUGGCGAACGGGUGAGUAACACGUGAGUAACCUGCCCCUCCCUUCUGGAUAACCGCUUGAAAGGGUGGCUAAUACGGGGUGUUCUGGCCUGCUCGCAUGGGUGGGUUUGGAAAGAUUCGACCGGUUUUGGUUGUUUUGGUGGGGGAUGGGCUCGCGGCCUAUCAGCUUGUGGGGGGGGGGAGGGCCUGCCGAGGCUUUGACGGGUAGGGGGGCUGGGAGGGUGGGCGGGCACAGUGGGAGUGAGACACGGCACAGACUGCUGCGGGAGGCAGCAGUGGGGAAUAGUGCACAAUGGGCGCAAGCCUGAUGCAGCGACGCCGCGUGAGGGAUGGAGGCCUGCGGGUUGUGAACCUCUUUCGCCAGUGAAGAAGGUCCUGCUCUUUGUGGUGGGGUUGGCGGUAGCUGGGUUAAUGAAGCGCCGGCUAACUACGUG